rnacentral:rRNA from 1 species
CAUACCUAUUCGAAGGGAUAGGGUCGGUUUGGCCGGAUUUCACACAGGUGUUGCAUGGCUGUCGUCAGCUCGUGUCGUGAGAUGUUGGGUUAAGUCCCGCAACGAGCGCAACCCUCAUCCUUAGUUACCAUCAGGUUAUGCUGGGGACUUUAAGGAAACUGCCAGUGAUAAACUGGAGGAGGGCGGGGAUGAUGUCAAGUCAUCAUGGCCCUUAUGGAGUGGGCUACACACGUGCUACAAUGGUGAUUACAAUGGGCUGCAAGGUCGCAAGGCUGAGCUAAUCCUAAAAAAUCAUCUCAGUUCGGAUUGUUCUCUGCAACUCGAGAGCAUGAAGUUGGAAUCGCUAGUAAUCGUGGAUCAGCAUGCCACGGUGAAUACGUUCUCGGGUCUUGUACACACUGCCCGUCACGCCAUGGGAAUUGGUUUCACUCGAAGCU